rnacentral:misc_RNA from 3 species
AACGCACCUUGCGCUCCUUGGUAUUCCGAGGAGCAUGCCUGUUUGAGUGUCAUUUAAUUCUCAACCUUAUUAGCUUUUGUUGAUAAUGGCUUGGAUGUGGGGGUUUUCUUUUGCUGGCUUUCUUCGGAUGUCAGCUCCCCUUAAAUGUAUUAGCCGGUGCCCUGCGUGGACUAUCCGUUGGUGUGAUAAUUAUCUACGCCGUUGGAUGUCUGCAAAUAGGUUUUGCACUGCUUCUAACUGUCUGUUCAUUUGGACAAUACAUGACAAUUUGACCUCAAAUCAGGUAGGACUACCCGCUGAACUUAA